AACGAACGCUGGCGGCAUGCCUAACACAUGCAAGUCGAACGAGACCUUCGGGUCUAGUGGCGCACGGGUGCGUAACGCGUGGGAACCUGCCCUUAGGUUCGGAAUAACUCCCCGACAGGGGUGCUAAUACCGGAUAAUGUCUUCGGACCAAAGAUUUAUCGCCUGUGGAUGGGCCCGCGUUGGAUUAGCUAGUUGGUAGGGUAAAAGCCUACCAAGGCGACGAUCCAUAGCUGGUCUGAGAGGAUGAUCAGCCACACUGGGACUGAGACACGGCCCAGACUCCUACGGGAGGCAGCAGUGGGGAAUAUUGGACAAUGGGCGAAAGCCUGAUCCAGCAAUGCCGCGUGAGUGAUGAAGGCCUUAGGGUUGUAAAGCUCUUUUACCCGGGAUGAUAAUGACAGUACCGGGAGAAUAAGCUCCGGCUAACUCCGUG
rnacentral:rRNA from 1 species